UUGACCUCGAAUCAGGCAGGAAUACCCGCUGAACUUAAGCAUAUCAAUAAGCGGAGGAAAAGAAACCAACAGGGAUUGCCCCAGUAACGGCGAGUGAAGCGGCAGCAGCUCAAAUUUGAAAUCUGGCCCCCCCGCGGGGGCCCGAGUUGUAAUUUGCAGAGGAUGCUUUUGGCGAGGCGCCUUCCGAGUUCCCUGGAACGGGACGCCGCAGAGGGUGAGAGCCCCGUCUGGUCGGACGCCGAGCCUCUGUAAAGCUCCUUCGACGAGUCGAGUAGUUUGGGAAUGCUGCUCUAAACGGGAGGUAUAUGUCUUCUAAAGCUAAAUAUCGGCCAGAGACCGAUAGCGCACAAGUAGAGUGAUCGAAAGAUGAAAAGCACUUUGAAAAGAGGGUUAAACAGUACGUGAAAUUGUUGAAAGGGAAGCGCUCGUGACCAGACUCGGGCGGGGCGGAUCACCCGGCGUUCUCGCCGGGGCACUCCGCCUGGCCCGGGCCAGCAUCAGCUCGCGCCGGGGGACAAAGGCGGCGGGAACGUGGCUCCUCCGGGAGUGUUAUAGCCCGCCGCGCAAUGCCCUGGGGCGGGCUGAGGUUCGCGCGUCCGCAAGGAUGCUGGCGUAAUGGUCACCAGCGACCCGUCUUGAAACACGGACCAA
rnacentral:rRNA from 1 species